rnacentral:rRNA from 1 species
AUGCCGUCGUGGAAUGAUGGAGAGGAGAGCAGCGAGGAGGAGCUGGUCGGCAUGGAGCUGGAGCAAAACUGGGUGAACCCUGGCACCACUAUAGAUGCAUCCUUUUGUGGUAGAGCUGCAGAUGCAAGCAUCACAUGUAGACUGCACUUGGCCCCAUGCAUGAAAUAUGUUGCAUUUGAAGGAAAGGACACUGGGAGGAGGUUCUAUGGAUGUGCUAUUCCUCAGAAGCAGAUGGAUGUGGACAAGGACAUGGAGAAGCUAGCUAUCAGCAAGGAGAAGGACAAUGAUGGCAUUGGCAAGAUGAAGGAGAUGGAGAAACUAGCUCAGGAGCUCAAGGAGAUGAAGUGCAUUUAUAGAUCUCAGGGAGAGAUCAUUAGGAACACCAGGAAGGAGAGAGAUGGCUUCAAGAAAGAGAGGGACUGGCUGAUAGAGGAGAAGAAGAGGCUGGAGUUUCUGGUGGGUGAUCUUAUGAAAGCUGGUCAUGGCAACAAGGACAAGCUUGAGAAGAUCAAGUCAAUCCUUGCUGAGUGA